rnacentral:lncRNA from 1 species
GGACAAGAGUGCCAUCAGCCCCGGAAGCAGCAGCAUCCGCCCGCAGGGAAGAACAAGGAACAUGCUUACCCUUCAUAAGUACAGUGCGGCUUGGAGGGAGAUUCAGAGAGAGGAAACGGGAGCUGCUGGCAUGCCCCUCGGGAGCGGAGCCAGGAGCCCAGCUCCUGGGCCCAAGGCCACAUCACUGCAGAUGAGCCAAUGGCUGUGCCUGAGUCUGCCAGCACCCACGGCGGGGGUCCACGCUGGCCACCCUCCGAGCAGUGCCUGGGCACAUGCCUUGAAAACAUGGUCUAAGGAAAGAUGGAGACAACGGGUCCAGGGACGGGCACAAAGCCAAGCUCAAGGUGGAGAGCAAUAGAAGAAAAAGAAGAAGCUGCACCAAAACUUAGUUUCCUGUGGAUAAUAAUUACAUGUAUGGUUUAUAUAGUGUUCACUGUGUCCUAGGAGCUACUCCAAACACUUUUUGAUGUAUGUAUUUUAUUUAAUUCUCAUAAAAACCUGACAAGUUAAGUUUGAUUAUUGUACUGAUUUUACAGAUGGGAAACUGAGGCACAGAAAUGAUAGGAAAUUGUGCAGCAGAAUUCAAACCCAGGCAGUCUGGCUGCAGAGCUGGCAUCUUAACCAGGAUGCUACACCAUCAGGCUGACUUCUGCACUGUCAUACUCAUGGGGCACCCAGACCAUCAGUUGGAAGGACUGACUUAGCCACUAUGUGACCACAAAUUAACUUUGAGAUGUUUUUCAUGCAAUCAACCUGUGUACACAUUGUGCACUCAGGGAUUAAGGCACAUGGUCCUAUAAAUAAAAUGAAAUAAAAUAUAGUUGGCACCUUCAGGCAAGCAAAGUAUUUUCAGUUUCCUGUGUUAAUUUUUGCUUUGAGGCUGGUAACCUUGACCAGUAAACUUGUUGAGGUCUUCCAGCUCUGAGAGGCACACACGCUCCAUAGCUGAGCGGAGGCAGAGUUUCCGCCCAUCAGGCAAUUACAGUCAAGGAGGAGUUGGUGCAGCACUUGCCAUAUGCCCCUGUCUGUCAUGAAAACACAAAGAUCUCAGCAGUUCUCCCCCCAGUUGGCAAACUGUAAAACUGGAAGGUCAGAUGCCUGAGAUGUAGGCUAAACCCUAACCACCAAAUACCCAAGGUUCUGAAAGUCUUCUUCCAGAGUGUUGCCCCUCAGUCCUAGCCAGAGAAGCAAACAGAAAGUGGUUUUAAAACUUAAUUUGUAUUUUGGGCCGGGG